rnacentral:rRNA from 1 species
AACGUAGGUGGCAAGCGUUGUCCGGAAUUACUGGGUGUAAAGGGAGCGCAGGCGGAAUGGUAAGUCGGAUGUGAAAUCUAUGGGCUCAACCCAUAAAUUGCGUCCGAAACUACUGUUCUUGAGUGAUGUAGAGGUAGGCGGAAUGCCCGGUGUAGCGGUGGAAUGCGUAGAUAUCGGGAGGAACACCAGUGGCGAAGGCGGCCUACUGGGCAUCAACUGACGCUGAGGCUCGAAAGCAUGGGGAGCAAACAGG